rnacentral:rRNA from 1 species
AUGAUGAAGAGAUUUUUGAGGGGCUCAUCGAGCCGAAGCUCGAACGAUAAGCAACGUGAGGAGGAUAAGAGGCCCAAAUAUAAGUUUCCUCGCACCGCAGAAGUUCGGCAGUGUGAAUGGCCUUGUCAUAAUUUCUUGAGAGCAGCUGGGAUUUAUGAUGAUUUCUUUAAAUUGGCUGAGAAUGCAGGCCUCACCGCCUUCCUCCACGACCAACAUGAACAAUAUCUCUUACUCACCAAUAUCUUUGUGCAAAAUUUUCAUUUCCAUGCUAGGAGCUCACCACCUACGGUGGAAUUUUAUUUAUAUGAUGAGCAUAAGGAGAUGUCACUUCAAGAUUUUUGUCGGGUUUGCUUGAUCCCUUUUGAGGGCAACGUAGAGGAACCACAUCGUGACGAUGUAGAUGGGUUUAUUGAUACCAUUACUGUAGGGGAAACGAGGAAGGUUCCCGACGCACGAAUUACUAGCAUACACUUUCCUGUUCUAUGUUACUUUGCUAUAUUUGCUAGUAGAUGCUUAAUUGGGCGUGGAAACUGUGGAAACCUGAGUGCCCCUGAUAUUGUUAUUUUGUGCCAUGCCUUAUUUUGUGAUGACACAUUUAGUGUGGGCGCUAUUAUUGCAAAGCGGUUAAAUCUUAACCAUACUAAGGGCCCCGUCCUUGGGGGCAUCUUCGCCUCGCGCCUCACUACACACUUUAACAUACCUAUUAGGCAUUACGAGAAGGAAGAGAAGUUGCUGCCUCCUGUUUAUCUAGAUUAUAAGAGUAUGGUAGCACAUGAUUUUAUUGUUAAGAAUAGGGAAAAGACGCUUAAGUACAAAUUUAUAUUUGGUAAAAAUCAUCCCGAGACUAUUACCCUGCCUGCUCCUUCCUUGUUUAAUUUAUCUGUAGGUAAGUACCUUGUUCCGUUGGAGGCCAUUAACGCCUACCGAAACCCUACAUCAGCUGCAGAGCCGGAGCUAGAACCACAAUUUGAUCCUCCACGAUAG